AAGGAUCUCUCGGAAACAAAGGAAAUGGAGCAGAGAGAACUGUUACAGUGACAGGGAAACCAAACAGUCAGACUUAGUGAAAGGUAUUUUCUACCUUAAAACCAGGAAAACAAUCACUUACCUCUUAGAGAGGAUGCAUCAAGGUGCCUGUAUAUCCCUCUCACUAAAGAUCUCCAGGUAUGGUGUUGAAACUGACUGCAUUAGUCCGACUACAAAAUACAGAAAAACAAACAUGCCCCCUGCUCUCCAUUCAACAGGAUUCUCGCUCUUUUUCAAAGCUUUGGAACAGAUUGGAUGAUAAAAAGAAAUGCUCUUAAGUGGAGUUUAGACUUUUGCGUGGUAUUACAUCCUGCAAGAAGUAAUGUAUUGACAAGGUAGUUGUAGGCAGAUCAAGCUUGAGUGAAACAAUUCAGAUGCUCCCUUUCACAGUAAGAAUUGCAUUAAAUGAUAUUUGCCAAAGACUUGUAUGUAAUUUUCUUCAUGGUAAGAAACUGAUUUCAGCAAAACUUGGAAGGGACCGCAAAUAGUACCG
rnacentral:lncRNA from 1 species